GAUAAUAUUUGUAAAGCACUUAGCAUAGGGUGGUAGAGAUGGCAAGAAGAACUGAAGACAGAGAUGACAAAAGAUGCUUAGAGAGGAUCCAGGAACUGACUGGCAGCAAGGCUGUAAAAAGGAGAAGGAGAAGAACCAGCCAGAAAGGAGCUAGAGGUUUCGGACCUUGGCUGGGUGGUGGAGAGGACAGUGGAGCCAUCGACAGAAACUGGGAGAUCAGGAGAUAGAGCUGGCACAGAAAGGAGGAAGAGCUCCACAAAUCCAGCUCUGGGCUGGGCAGCCCUGUUUCUUCAUCCUCAUCCCCACUGAUUUGCCUUGAGUCAUUCUGGGAAUUGGAAAGAUAAGACUGGAUCAAAGAUUGCUCCAAGAAGCAUCCCCAGUGCUGCCUUCUCUAACGUCUGGAUGCCAUUGGAGGAAGCAAAGAGUGCAAACUCCCCGAAGGCAGUAGUGACCACACAGUUCUUGGCACAUAUGGUGAAUGAAUGAGUGGACUGACAAAUCCUACCCCAAAAUGUCUUGAUUAAUGUCCCACCUCCAAAUCUGUGGAGAGGUUUCUGGAUGCCAGCCACAGGGCUCAGCUUGGGUUCUCUUCUGUUGAACGUUUUUCGUCAAAGAAUUGGAUAAUGAUGCAAAGGAUGUGCUUAUCAAACAUGUCAAUGACAUUAUGGCCAAAAGGGAGAGUCAACAAGUUGGAUAACAGAAUAAAGAGUAAGAAUGAUCAA